AUGAGGAGUGAGUAUGCAACAUUCUGCAUCUGUCUUUCGACUGAAGAACAUUGGAUAUUUUGUGGGAAAAUUUUUUAAAUUUUCAGUUUAAAGUUUAGCAAAUGGGACCCAAGAAGAAGCAAGCAAAAGUGAAGUAGCCCAGCCUGAAACAGCAGAGGGGGAGGAGGAGGAAGAAUUUGAUGAUGAUGGUAGCAGCACUGGCGAGCCCUGCACGGACAGGGAGAAGUAUGCCUUCAAGCCGGCAGAAGGCACAGCACCCCGCCAGAGGGAUUUCCACAGCUAACAAUGAACAGAAGUGAAGACAUUGCAAUCCCAUCAUCGCUGUCAGGCCAUUGUGCCAUGCUCAGUGAUGAGGACAAGAACAUUCCGACACCCCGUCCCACCACUCAGCCGGAGUAGGAGCAGGACAGCAGCUCGGAGUCAAAGUGUGUUUCAGUGCUCAAACUGUUGGGCUAUUUAGUUGGGAUUUUUUACAAUGUAAUAAAAUGCGUUAUUCCCUUA